GUGGGGAAUCUUCGGCAAUGGGGGCAACCCUGACCGAGCAACGCCGCGUGAGUGAAGAAGGUUUUCGGAUCGUAAAACUCUGUUGUUAGAGAAGAACGUUAAGUAGAGUGGAAAAUUACUUAAGUGACGGUAUCUAACCAGAAAGGGACGGCUAACUACGUGCCAGCAGCCGCGGUAAUACGUAGGUGGCAAGCGUUGUCCGGAUUUAUUGGGCGUAAAGCGAGCGCAGGUGGUUUCUUAAGUCUGAUGUAAAAGGCAGUGGCUCAACCAUUGUAUGCAUUGGAAACUGGUAGACUUGAGUGCAGGAGAGGAGAGUGGAAUUCCAUGUGUAGCGGUGAAAUGCGUAGAUAUAUGGAGGAACACCGGUGGCGAAAGCGGCUCUCUGGCCUGUAACUGACACUGAGGCUCGAAAGCGUGGGGAGCAAACAGGAUUAGAUACCCUGGUAGUCC
rnacentral:rRNA from 1 species